GUGGUGUCGAAGGGUUUUGAUGGUGGAGAUUUAUGAGGGUUUCGUGGUGGUAGAUCGGAGAGAAAAAGGGUCGCUCGCCGGAGAGAGAUGAAAACGAAGGAGCUUUUUUAAUUUCCUUUCUUUUCGUUUGCUUUUUCUUUUCGUGAGUGAAAGGGUGAGGGAGCAGAGUGGUUUUUACGGUGGGUUUGAGCGUGAGGUGGAUGGUGUGAGCGGUGGUGGAAAGAGAGCGACAUGAGGUUGUU
rnacentral:lncRNA from 1 species